rnacentral:rRNA from 1 species
GAUGAAUCAUAAUAACUGAUCGAAUCGAGGUUCGCCUUGAUAAAUCAUUCAAGUUUCUGCCCUAUCAGCUGUAGAUGGUAGUGUAUUGGACUACCAUGGCUAUUACGGGUAACGGAGAAUUAGGGUUCGAUUCCGGAGAGGGAGCCUGAGAAACGGCUACCACAUCUACGGAUGGCAGCAGGCGCGAAAAUUGCCCAAUCCCGAUUCGGGGAGGCAGUGACAAGAAAUAACAACCCAGAACAUUGUUUCCGGGAUUGCAAUGAGAACAAUUUAAAAACCUUAAUCGAGUACCAACUGGAGGGCAAGUUCUGGUGCCAGCAGCCGCGGUAAUUCCAGCUCCAGUAGCGUAUAUUAAAGUUGCUGCAGUUAAAAAAGACUCGUAGUUGAAUUUCUGUUGUAAGAGUCGAAGCUUUAC